AUCACUUCUCGGCCUUUUGGCUAAGAUCAAAGUGUAGUAUCUGUUCUUAUCAGUUAGUAAGUGUCUUAUUUUCUUUUCUAUGUUACUUUUGCUUUCUGACUUCUU
ensembl:snRNA U2 U2 spliceosomal RNA